rnacentral:rRNA from 1 species
UACAGAGGUCUCAAGCGUUGUUCGGAUUCAUUGGGCGUAAAGGGUGCGUAGGUGGCAUGGUAAGUUGAAGGUGAAAUCUCGGGGCUCAACUCCGAAACUGCCUUCAAUACUGCUGUGCUCGAGGACUGUAGAGGAGAAUGGAAUUCACGGUGUAGCAGUGAAAUGCGUAGAUAUCGUGAGGAACACCUGUGGCGAAAGCGGCUCACUGGACCAUAACUGACGCUGAUGCACGAAAGCUGGGGGAGCAAACAGG